rnacentral:lncRNA from 1 species
CCCGUUACACAAUCGCAUGCCAUACAAUGCUGCUAAACUGCCUUACCUCAGUGGACUUACAUUAGCGCACCCUGUUAGCGACAUGGAUAAAUUCAGGAUUUCAUUUUUAAUAGGUUCGGAUUACUACUGGGAUAUCGUAGAAGACACAGUUAUCCGAGGACCAGGCCCGACCGCAGUAGAAUCAAAACUCGGAUACCUACUUUCUGGACCAAUGAAAGACUCAGCUGGACCCACAUCCUCAUCUUUCAUGUUACAACACAAGACAGAAGAAGUCGAUUUGAAACGUUUUGGGAAAAUCGAAUCAAUGGGAGAAGUAUCUGACAAUUCAAUGAAAUUUAACAAAGACUAUUUUGAGACGUAUCAUUCAAACAGCAACACAAUGAAGAACAAUGGUAGGAUUCACACAUUUAGCAGGGAACCAGGAAUGAUGAAAAUCCACGGAGACAGAGCACCGAGUAAAACUGAAGCCAAGCUAAAGAUUCAAACAUGGACUUAAUACUUUCAUGACAAUAUACUUACUGGUAUCAAGUGCGCCGUAAUUUUGAUAAUGAUCAUAGUGAAUAGACAGUUUAACAAUUUCUAUUUAUUUACAUGGACUUUAAAUAGUUAAUUAUCAUUUCACACUUUGUAUGUUAAUUUCUUUUUCAUAAUUUUAGAUUAAUUUUCACUUUUCGGCGCCCCCAGUGUCAAGUAUUAGCCGCUGUACAUUUACUAAGUAACUAACGUCACUAACGUUACCUAUUGUUUACGUUGCCUAUUGUUUACGUAACGUUGCCUUGUGCGCAACGUCACAUAACUUGAAUACAAUUUGAUAUGAACACAACGCCUUUCAUUACUAACCCUAAAGCGAAGUACUAACCACAAGAAACACGAUACACG